rnacentral:rRNA from 1 species
UACGUAGGGUGCGAGCGUGUCCGGAAUUAUUGGGCGUAAAGGGCUCGUAGGCGGUUUGUCGCGUCGGGAGUGAAAACCUUGGGCUUAACUCAGGGCUUGCUUUCGAUACGGGCAGACUAGAGGUAUGCAGGGGAGAACGGAAUUCCUGGUGUAGCGGUGGAAUGCGCAGAUAUCAGGAGGAACACCGGUGGCGGAGGCGGGUCUCUGGGCCGAUACUGACGCUGAGGAGCGAAAGCGUGGGGAGCGAACAGG